CUGGCUUUAACACACACACACACACACACACAGACAUAAUAGUGCUGCAUAUUUGUGUGUGUGUGUGUGUGUGUGUGUGUGUGUGUCCUUUGCACAAAGUAGUAACAUGGACACACAUUUAACUUCUUAUUUCUGCAUGAUGUCACCUGCACAAUGACUGAAAAGGUCAUAGUGAGGUAUAUGAGAGUGUGUACACGAGUGUGUGUAUAUGAGUGUGUGUGUACAUUAGAGCGUGUGCGCAUCCCUGUCAUAGAGGUCCUCUCCUUCCCCCAUCUUGUCUGACCCCCCCGUGUGUGUAAUCCCUGCCAGCUGUCCCCGCAGUCUAAUCCGUCCACCGUGAUCAGCUGGGAAGUGUAUACGUGUGUGUGUGUGUGCCUAGAGAGGUGGGGGUGGUGUCAAACAGAGAGCAUAAAUUGGAGCUGAAGCGUGCGCGCUGCACAGUGCAUCUGAGUUUGUGUAUGUGUAUGUGUUUGUGUGUGUGUGUGUGUGUGUGUAUGUGAGAGAGAGAGAGAGAAAGUGAGAUGUUCUUCCUCUUCCUCGUGCUUCCUCUCCCUCUUCUCCUCUGUGGACCUUUAUACAUAUAUACUGCCUCUGUUAUAUAUGUAUAUCCAUUUUAAAAAGAUAUUCCUCUUUAUUUAUUCCUCCGAGUGGCCAUACUCCACUGAAGGAUUUCUUUUUAGGUUAAGGUAUGGAGAUUUUUGCUUUUUAAAAAAAAAAAAAAAAAAAAACAUUUUCAGGGAGGUGAAUGACAACUGGAGGUGAAUGACACUCCGCCUUCCCCACCUGUUUUUUUCUUUCUUUCUUUCUUUUCUUUUUUCUUUUUUUUUAAAUUCCUGCAUGUGUGAUACAGUGGUACCUGGCUAUCUUUCUACCUCCAUACCUCCUCUCUAUCCUGUCCCAUCCAUCCAUGCAAAUUCCCGCCGCCAUCCUGUUUCUUCUCCUCGGUCAAGGCAGGCGCAUCUUCUUCUGGAAGCCACUGCCGCAGGAGGUUCUCCACGGAUGGAGAACAGAAAUAGCGCCGGGGGGAAACGGGACGUACAGAAUAUGCUCCUUUCUCAGGAUUCGGCAGUUAUUUUUGAAAAGAGAAGCAGGACAAGAUGGUGGUGCAGGGAUCUCUGUCUCUGACGGCCAUCGCUGUGGCAGAUUUUUAAUUGUUUAAUGUUAAAAAAAUGAAAAGGAAAAUGUAUCUAUAUGUAAUGUACUUUGAUUCAAUAUUCUUUGGUAUGUUAUGUUAUGUUAUGUUGUGUUAUGUUAUGUGUAGAGAUAUACUGGGGUUACAAUAUUAACCUGGUGGUUUAUAACAGCUGUAUGUUUUGCAUGCAUCUCUGUCAAUAGGGAAUGCAGAGAGAGAGAGAGAGAGAGAGAGAGAGAGAGAGAGAGAAGCGAGAGGCACAAGGUGGGGGUAGGGAAGGAUAGAGAGAGAGAGAGAGAGAGUGUGUGUGUGAGAGAGAGAGAGAGAGAGAGAGUGAGAGAGCGGUAGAGCUCCCUUCAGUAGAAGGCGGAUAGCUUUACAUUGCGGUGUGUCUGUGAGCUUCAACAUGGACGACGAUGCUGAGAUAAAAAGGAAAAGCAGUGAAGUCGACUCCAUGCCGUCUGGCUGAGAAAGGCGUUCAGAUUUCAUCUCACAUCAGGAUCAAGAUCCCUCGGAAAAGCAGGUCUAUGCUAUAUGCUCUGUCUCUCAUAUAGAUAUACAUAUAUAUAUAUAUAGGAUACACACACACACACACACAGUAUUUACACAACAGGGAAGAAGAUGGCAUCAUGAUGGAUGUAUGGAUGCAUUUGAAAUCAUUCUGAAUGGAAGUGUUAUUUGACAGGGCUGGGUGUGAAUGUAUAUGAAAUAUAGAGAGAGAAAUGAGGAGCUUGUGCACGGAAGGCGAUCACGGCGACAAGAGGGGAGAGAAGGUAUUACGACAGACUAGAGGACGAGAAGAUUACGCAUGCCAUAGACAGAGAGCGAUAACGAGAGAAAGGAACAGGAAGAAAGAAAUAGACGUAGAUGUAGGUGUGAGCUAUGGAACCGUAGGUUUUAGCUCUUUGUGUUCACAGUGGACCUUGAUUUAAUUUCAAUACAAUUAAGGCACGCGGUGAAUGCCAAGAGAAGAACCAUUACACACCACCCUGCUCACAGAGACAUGGAAGGUGUAGAUACUCAGAGAGAGAAUCAGCAUAACCUCGGAAACAACACAGGUUAGAUCGGCCUUACCGUUAAUGCCACACCGGUAACACAGACUAACAAUAUUUACUAUGUAAUACUAACCACUAUUGUCUGUCUUUGUGCAUCGGGCCCUGUGCAUGAACCUGAAAUAAAGCUUUAUUACUUAUGCACAAUUGUGGAUUGGCUUGCUUUCUCUCCCCCCCCCCCCCCUUUCUUUCCUUUCUAGCCUACAUUAUUUUGAACACCUGCCUUCACAUAUAUUAUAGGUCUUGGUCAUUUAAAUAUUUUGACAAAUGUCAGCCUGGUUAUCCACUUUGAAGCCGAAAUUCCUUCAGAACGGCGAGUGUAGCCUAAUUUAGACCUUUCAAAGGUCACUGCAUCCGAAACCUCAUUCUAUCAAGCAGAAAUCAUAGCUCUAAAUAGUAUAAAUAGGACACCACUAUCCCUUUUCAAACAGAACUGAACACAUAGAGCAGUAUAAUGUGGAGCAAAAGGUAUUUUUCAUAGCCCUUUGUAGUGUGUAUACAGGCUAUAGGGAAGAAUGAGUGGGUUGGGAUACAGCUACAGAUUUAAAAAAAAAAAAAAAAAAAAAAGAAAAAAAAAAGAAAAAGAAAAAAAAAAAGCCAAGAUUGCAUUAUUAUUGUGACCUACAUUCAGUACACACAACAAAAAAAAGCCAAACAUAUCAACAAACAGCAAUGCACAUACUAAUACUAAAAUGUGCACACAUGUAUACCUAUAUAUAUAUAUAUAUAU
ensembl:lncRNA